rnacentral:lncRNA from 1 species
GUCCCCCACCUCGCUGAAUGAUCUCUGGGGUGUGAGGUCUCCUCCUCUGACCUGUUUCUUUCUCUCUGCACAGAACCAGGCCCCAGGCAGGAAACACCAAGAGCCAGACCUGUCUCCUGAGAACACUCUGCGUUCGCCGCCGAGAAGUAAUUUCUGCCCCAGCCAGAACAUGGACUGAGGCAAGGGGGCCUUCAGCUACGUCCCCUGUCCCUGCAGCGGCGGGCUGCUGGAGCCUGGCCCGGGGAAGACCCCACACACAGCUGGGCUGCCCCUCCGCGUGUGGGAGACGUGAGAGGCACAGCCCAGAAACCAGACCCGCCCCCCCAAGCAGACACGUGGGGAGCAGCACCCAGAGGAAUUGGUUCUCUCCUCAGACUCUGACCCCAAGGGCCUCCCCUCGUCAGUCCACGGUCCAGCCCCUGGACCCCUCUGGGGACAGUGGUACAGCCGUCGUGGCCAGAGGGCUGCACACCUGAAAACGGAGUGGCUCAAAGGCAGCUGUCCCCUGACGCGGAGCCCUGUCACCACCUUGAUUCUAUGGCUACCUCUCAGCCCCUCGCCCCAAGACGCCUUCCAGAACAGACAGCACUGGAUCUCUGGGACCGCUGGCUGCCAAGCCCAAGGGCACCGUUCCACCCCAGGGCCUGGCACCAAGAGGGUGCCUGGUACAUCCUAGACGAUGUGGGGUUUUGUUUCACCCAGCAGUUUAAAGUUCAAAGCUAAAGUGCUUUCAGCCCAUCACAGCAAACUUCUAAGCCGAGAGUCUGAGACUGGGGCUGGACAUUCCUGGAAGUUAAAUAAUUCAUUCCCUCAGCGGAAACUGUCUCUGCCAGUCAGGGUGUCUAGACACACACGGUACCCUGCAGAGCCCGGGUUUCCUUAGCGAGGAAGGGAGGACGAGCGAGAGGGGAACGUCUCCCUGGGAGCUUGAAGAUCUAGAAAAGGCAGAGACUGGGCCAGGCCCCAGUAAGCCCUUGGGCACCAGUCCCCUAAGGAGGUAUCUUGGGUCUGGGGCCUUCCUCCACGCACUCUGCCACUGUCUCCACUGGGAGCAAGAGCUCCUCACAGCCCAAGCCACAGAAGCCAACACUGGAAGAACCACGGGGAAUUACUAGAAGGAUAUGGGGGAGGGGUGCUCACAGAAUCAGGGGAUCCGGGGGCAUUAGCGUGUUACAAGUGUCUGGUCAGCACUCUGCCAACACCCUCCAACCCGGCCUCCCAGCCUCCCCUGCUCAGGACCCAGAGUCCUGGCAGAGCCCAGGGGCCAAGCCAGGUCUCGGAUCUGCCCCAACCAUGCUAGGGAUCUGGAAACAGGGGCACCCAGUCACCUUCCUACACGUGCCAGGGGUGAGGGGCUCCUCGAGAGGGAACUGAGACGUGGCUUUUAGGGAGAGCCGUUGGCGAGCAAGAAUUCCUGUGUCGUCGUCCCCCAGAAGUCCUACUAGCUGGACUAAGAAUCAAAUUGACGUGAGACGG